GUCAGAAGCUGUUUAAGAAGUCCAGCUCCAGGGAAUUCUCUGGCAGUCCAGUGGCUAGGAUUUGGUGGUUUCACUGCCUUGGGCCCAGGUUGGAUCCCUGGUUGGGGAACUAAGAUCCUGAAAGCUAAACAGCCAAGAAAAGAGAAAAAGAAAAAGGUCUGCUCUGUAUCUAAAAUUUGGAAGUCUCCCAACCUGAAUCCAGUUACGUGGAGACUGUGAAAGCUUGACGAUAUGUGGGGACUCUGGCCAUGCAGUUUAGCACAGUCAACAACAGAAAUCCUGAUUUCUCAACAAAAUGAUCUGUGGUAUAACAGAAGGGCCUACACCCUCCUUCUCACUCAAGCAGAAUAUUGUCUUUAGAGGCUGACUUGCUGUAAUUCAAGAAACCGGCAAUACUGUAGAGGAAACGUCUAUUGAGUCGGGCAAAGUGAGCUAACAGACACCGGAGCCAAGGACCACUUGACCUGAGAAUCGUAAAUCAGAGACAUUUUGACUCCUGAAACCACAGUUAGGAAAAGUCACACGACUAUUAUUCCUAGCCUCUUUGUUCUUCUCCUUUAAACGAAAGUUCCUUAACUCAAAUUCCAAGCUAGAGUGGAUUUGAGCCUUGUUUCCCGUUCCCUUGCUUGGCACCCUGCAUUAAAUACUGUACUUUCCUUCACCACAACCUUGCCUCAGUAUAUUGGCUUUGCUGGCAGUCAUGAAAGAAGCCGCGAGUUUGGUUCAGCAACAGAUACACCCCCUCAGGAAAAAACACCUCAGGAGGGCCUAAACUCUGGGAAAAAAAGAGGGGACUCUGAACCGGAGACUGGGGCUCACCCCUUUCUCUCAAGUACUGAUGCAG